rnacentral:misc_RNA from 1 species
CGGCCUCUCAACAUCUGCAUAGAUUCCUGGAAAUGAUAAGCAACCCUCAUUAUAAGGUAGAGUUCGUUUUGAGACUUUAUAUACUGUUGGGUUUAUAAGGGCGAUUUCCUCUCCUUCGCCACGUUCACCAACAGGAUUAAAUACCAUAAGAUGAACAUUGAUUCCUACUUGAGGUGCUGAGAGCCCAAUUCCAUCAGUCUUGUACAUGAUGUCAAACAUCUCUUCAACUAGCUUCUUCAGAUUAUCAUCGAAUGUGUUGAUAGGCUUGUUCCUCGCCCUCAGUAUAGGAUCCGGGUACUCAAUAAUCUUCAGCGGGACCUCGAAUUGAAAAUCAACAGCAGUAGCGAACUCGACUUCUUGGGAGGAAAACCCUCGCCGAGCCCGGCGGCCGACCUCCGUGUUCAGCGG